AAAAACAUUUCUAUUAGAAUACUAAUUAAUAGUAUAAUCUGCUCAAUGAAAAUUAAAUAGCCGCAAAAAGUGCUAAGGUAGCAUAAUAAUUUGUCUUUUAAUUGAAGACUAGAAUAAAAGAUUUAACAUUUCAGUUUAUGUAAAAAUAUAAUUAUUUAAAUUAUUUUAAUUGUUAAAAAACAAUUAUAUAAAAAAAAGACGAUAAGACCCUAUUGAACUUAACUUUAGUUAAACUGGGGUAGUUAAUUAAAUAAAUCUUAAUUCAUUUAAUACAAAUAAAUAAGACCUAGUAAAACUAAUUAAUAAAACAAGUUACCAUAGGGAUAACAGCGUAAUAAUUUUUUUAAGAUCUUAUUUAAAAAAAAGAUUGCGACCUCGAUGUUGAAUUAAUCUUCUAUUAACGCAAUAGUUAAUUAAGAAAGUCUGUUCGACUUUUCAAAAAUUACAUGAUUUGAGUUCAGACCGGUGUAAACCAGGUCGGUUUCCAUCUUUUUAAAAAAUUCUUCUAGUACGAAAGGGCCUAAGAAAAUUAUAAUU
rnacentral:rRNA from 1 species